rnacentral:rRNA from 1 species
UACGUAGGUGGCAAGCGUUAUCCGGAAUUAUUGGGCGUAAAGCGCGCGCAGGCGGUUUCUUAAGUCUGAUGUGAAAGCCCACGGCUCAACCGUGGAGGGUCACUGGAAACUGGGGAACUUGAGUGCAGAAGAGAAAAGCGGAAUUCCACGUGUAGCGGUGAAAUGCGUAGAGAUGUGGAGGAACACCAGUGGCGAAGGCGGCUUUUUGGUCUGUAACUGACGCUGAGGCGCGAAAGCGUGGGGAGCAAACAGG